UGGGGAAUAUUGCACAAUGGGCGCAAGCCUGAUGCAGCCAUGCCGCGUGUGUGAAGAAGGCCUUCGGGUUGUAAAGCACUUUCAGCGAGGAGGAAGGUGGUGAGCUUAAUACGCUCAUCAAUUGACGUUACUCGCAGAAGAAGCACCGGCUAACUCCGUGCCAGCAGCCGCGGUAAUACGGAGGGUGCAAGCGUUAAUCGGAAUUACUGGGCGUAAAGCGCACGCAGGCGGUUUGUUAAGUCAGAUGUGAAAUCCCCGGGCUCAACCUGGGAACUGCAUUUGAAACUGGCAAGCUAGAGUCUCGUAGAGGGGGGUAGAAUUCCAGGUGUAGCGGUGAAAUGCGUAGAGAUCUGGAGGAAUACCGGUGGCGAAGGCGGCCCCCUGGACGAAGACUGACGCUCAGGUGCGAAAGCGUGGGGCAGCAAACAGGAUUAGAUACCCUGGUAGUCCAGCGCUGUAAACGAUGUCGAUUUGGAGGUUGUGCCCUUGAGGCGUGGCUUCCGGAGCUAACGCGUUAAAGUCGACCGCCUGGGGAGUACGGCGCAAGGUUAAAACUCAAAUGAAUUGAC
rnacentral:rRNA from 1 species